UACAGAGGGGGCAAGCGUUGUUCGGAAUUACUGGGCGUAAAGGGCGCGUAGGCGGCCUGUUAAGUCGAACGUGAAAUCCCCGGGCUCAACCCGGGAACUGCGUCCGAUACUGGCAGGCUUGAAUCCGGGAGAGGGAUGCGGAAUUCCAGGUGUAGCGGUGAAAUGCGUAGAUAUCUGGAGGAACACCGGUGGCGAAGGCGCUCUGCUAGGCCGCAACUGACACUGAGGGACGAAAGCUAGGGGAGCGAAUGGG
rnacentral:rRNA from 1 species